UACGCGUCAAGUGCCGUCCAACAUUACUUAUCUCGUGACUUCCACCAACUCCUAGUGCUCGGAACUUUCUUAUCUGUUUCCUUUCUACGGAUGCUGUUAGAUUUAAGUAUCUGCAUCUAGUCGUCGCAUUUUUUAAAUGCUUCAAAUACUUCUUUGGACGAGACCCAGUGAAUGCAUGUAGAAAUGUAUCGGAAGAAGAAUUGUUACGCGAUCGCACUAAAAGUAAACAAAAGUUUGUGAAUAUUUCGCGUUCAUCGUCUUCGUAGAGGUUUUGCCUGUAGUUGAUUUUAUGAGAAAAAUUUUUAUUGAAUGGAUUUUACAAGAAAAAGUGUUUUUAGUGCGGGAGGGUAUUUGGAAAAUGCCUGCAGAUAUGGUGUCGUUUGCCGUUUCAACAGGGCUAGGAGUUAGUGUUGUCGCUGGGAUUAUAUCUGGAGUAUGCUAUGUUUUGGCUUAUGGGUCCCAAAGGAAAAGUAGUCGUAAGAGUAAAAGUAACCUGCAUUGCGACGUCUGUGGAGAGUAUUUUCGGUCUAUAGAUCACAUAUUAGGAGGUGAUUGCAGCGUAUCAUGCUCAAAAUGUCAAAAGAAUGUCUGUCAAAAACGUUGUGCCAAUUUCGACGAACAACAAAAUGUUUGGACCUGUAAAAACUGUCUUCGACCACCAGAGUCCUGGUUUCAAGGAAUAUUAUAUGCAAUUCAACCCAACAAAAAGGACUUUUCUAUGGAUUCUAAUAAUGUUAUGGAAUCUAGUCAACUAAAAAAUAAGGAUCAUGUUCAAAAAAGUAAAGAACAAGUUCAAGAUUUUAUCGAAAAAUUAGUUAACUCUAUGUUAGGACAAAACAUUGAUGAUGCUAACAUAACCAAAAUGUACAACGAUGAACAUUAUCUUCCUUUAACCGGCCAACAAUCACCAUGUACAGCACAUGCAGCAUUAAAGCAGCUCAUAGAAAAACUUCUCCAGGAAGUAGCAAAUUUACCACAAUUACAGCGACCUCAACAGGGGACAGCAAUACCACCAGAUCUGAAUAAUAGAACAUACGAGGACUUACUUGCUACGGCCAUAUUAAAUAAGGUUAUAUCAAAUUCCCAAAAUGCUCGUCCGUCAUCUUCAGCUGCAAGCGUUUCUAGUAGAAUAUCAAACUCCUCCCACAUUAAAGAGGAUAAAGGAUUCUUCUUCGGAGAAGAAACGUUGGACAGCAAAUGGAGGCAUCCAGAUGUAGAAACAACGUCAGUUUCAAGCAUAGAAGAUUGGCUACAUACUGAUUCCAGUUUCGGAUCACGAAAAUACGUUGACAGAGUUACUCUUACGAUAAAACAAGAUAUCGAAGAAGUAUCUCACGCCAGCGAUUCAGAUCAUGAAGGCAACGAAGACGAUGACAAUGAGUACUUCCGUAGCAAAUCGUCAUUUUGGAGCGAUGAUGAGCCCAACUGGUUUUUACAGAAGCGAACUUUUCAAGGAACGCAUUCACCGGUACCGGUACCAAUGUUGGUGCCGAAUCCAACAAUAGAAGCAAAGGUACUAAUAGGUGAUAAAGAAGUAGACGAUACCUCAGACUUAUCAGACGUAGAAUCGGAAUACGGAGAUACAGAAAUAGUCCCAGCACGACACAGCCUACUUGUCAAUUCCAAAACACUUAUAGGAGGAAAAAACCCAUUGCAAAAUGGAGUCGGAGAUGUGGAAUCCGAAAGUGAAUCUUCUGCUGAUUCGGGUGUAAAAGAAGUCGAUAGAGGCCAGUCUGUAUACGAUGAAUCCGAAUUUACGGAUAGAGCAGAAGGCGGCAGUCAAAAUGAAGAUGAACAUCAUACGUCUUUUGUGUCUAAAGCAGAUAUUACAAUAGAUGACGAUAACGUAGAAGAUGCAUCACUGAUGUCAGUAUACAGCAACACAGAACAGGAAGCAGAAUACACAGAGAGAUAUGCAUCACUACCAAGAAAAAUAGAAAAAAUACCAGAUCCUGACCCAAGGUCUUCAGAAAAAAUUAGAAACGAUUACACGAACUACGAAACAGUAAAUAAAGUGGAAGAUGACGAUAAGGAAGCUGAAGAAGUGAGACUGGUACAAAAGCAUUUUUCAGGUAGUUACAGUAAACGGGAGAAAGAAAAAUGGAAAAAUGCCGUAGAAAUGAAAAAUAAUCCCUAUUCUAAAGAAAAUAUAGAAAAAAGGAUAAAACGAUCUAAUAGUGGAGUAGACUCGAUAUUUGGGCCUGAUUACUAUGCCAAAAUGGCGUCCUCUCCAUCAGGAACCAAAGGAAAGGUAAAAGAACUUGUAUGGCCACCUAUUGGGAGUGAAGAAUCGGAAGAUACUGUUGAUUUCAUUGAAAAAGACGAAAUUCAACAGGUACCACCAAAACACAUUUCAACAACGUACAUAGCAGCAGAAGAAACCAAAGACAAUUUUAAAGCAUUUCCGGUUAUAGUAGAACCCGUAGAAGCAUCUUUAUCGUCACAGACAAGUUUACCUCCAAAAUCACCUCUGCACGGAUCAGAGAUGACAAGUUUGACAAGCGAUAGUGAUUUGAGUUACGUACACGUUUAUGAUGUGGAAAAUGCUGUAAUAACCAAAAAAACAAGAGACCAACCGGUCAAUUCAGAACCUGAGAAGAAUAACCGAUUUGUAAAAGGUACAACCACUACGACUAGAAGGUUUGUUAACAAUCCACCCCUUAAAAAAUAUAAAAGUGAAACAGAUUUGCUCGAAGAUUCAUUUUAUACUCCACCUAAAGUGCUGGCGAGGAAAAAAGACAACACAUUAAUUUCAAAAAUUUAUUUGGACCCUCAUGUUAGAAGUUUUGCUUUAAGUAAUAGGGAACACUUACCUGUAAAUAAUACGAUACCAACUUUUAGAACCCAGUUGAGUUCUCCAGAGAUGGUCCUGGAUUACAAAGCUUACCAUUCGGACGAUGGACUAAGCUUAAGGCACAGCAAAAGGUACUUCAGUUCACAGGAAGAUUUACUCAGCUCAAAUUCUAUUGAAGUUCACAAUGGAACAAUGACUCACACAGCAAAAAUGUCAUUUAGCUCAGAAGAUGAACAAUUUUUAGAAAAGAAUCCAGUUUUUAGCACAGCUCCAGCAAAUAGACGGAUAUACAGUUCGAGCGAGGAUUUACUUUCUACUGAUGAGACUGAUUAUUCAAAGAAAAAGGACAACACACUCAUAUCAAAAAUUUAUCAACAACCUCAUGUUCGGCAAUAUGCUCUGGCUGCUAGACCAACUAUCCCAGUAAAAGAAGAAAAACGGAUCGAAAAAUCCAUUAGUUCGGAAGAUGAAGUGCUUAUAGAGAUCACAAAAGCACCCAAAGUUAGUUCUCCGAAAGUUUGGCCAGACGUUGAAACGCAGUUCGAAACGAUGAAUAUUAAAGAAAAGGAACCUGUUACAAACGAACACGAUAAUGAAAAUGAUCCAGGUGUUGAAGAAAUAGCUAGAAAAAAAAUUGUGCACAACUUUCUCCAAAAAUAUUCUACUUCAAGUACAAACCUGAAAAUAACAGAUAGUAAGGAAGAUAUAAAUAACGAAGAGGAUAUUACUAUUUCUGUGAAAGAUUUAAGAAAGAGGUUCGAAAAAAAUCAGAAAAAGGACAACACACUCAUAUCAAAAAUUUAUCAACAACCUCAUGUUCGGCAAUAUGCUCUGGCUGCUAGACCAACUAUCCCAGUAAAAGAAGAAAAACGGAUCGAAAAAUCCAUUAGUUCGGAAGAUGAAGUGCUUAUAGAGAUCACAAAAGCACCCAAAGUUAGUUCUCCGAAAGUUUGGCCAGACGUUGAAACGCAGUUCGAAACGAUGAAUAUUAAAGAAAAGGAACCUGUUACAAACGAACACGAUACCCAAAAAUAAUAUAGUAUCCAGCUUAACGGCUAGAAGUUUAUCAAAGCAAAUGAAAGAGGAAUUACGAAAUUGAACAUAGAAAUAUUCAACAAUUCGACUGUGCCACUCACCCGUUUAUCAAUAUACCAAAAAUUGAAAAAGACUUCAGCGAUAUUACUUAAAUGUUUGUUUUAUUCAAUUUUAUUUAUGUACAUAUUGUUUUAUAUUAAUAUAUUGUGUUACUUAUCUUCAUUUACAUUGUACUUACAUAAAGAAUUAAAAGUUACCAUUAAGAGAAGUGUACUCCUUCUGCGUUGAACGCAUGUAACAACCUGUAAAGAUAUAAAAAUUGUUAAUUAUUGGUAAUAUAUUUAUUUACAUAUUU
rnacentral:misc_RNA from 1 species